CCCUGUCAGCAGCCGAGCCCGCGUCCUGUCUCCUAGGCAGCGCAAGGGUACUUCCGGCGCUGCCUGAUGACGUUAGGGCGCCAACCGGAAGCGAGCGGGUCGUGGGGAAACUGGCCGCAGACUGAAAGCCAGCUCACUGGAAGGGUCUCGUUCUUCAGCCGCGUCGGCCCCGAGCUGGAAAAUGCAGAUUCUUGGUUCCUGCGUUUUUUAAACUAGCAUCUCUGAUGGUGCUGAUGCAGAGGGCCAGCGGACUCUGGUUUGAAAAACACGGCCCUGUCGAAGGCACUUCUCACAGGCCCCCCUCCACAUCUCUUCUCUACUGCCAAAGCCCAGGACACAAGAGGCCAGAUGGAGACCAAGGGUUUCACAAGAAACUGAUCUUUACUCAACAAAGUUCUACACAAGUGGAAUCUCACGCCACCUUGGCGCCAGUCCCCAGCACAGCACGGUAACAAAUGGACAGACCCUGGGAGCCCGCAGGAAGAAGAGGAUGAGGGGGAAGGAGGGAUGUGGGAACGAGAGGGACUGCAGAUCGAGGCCAGUCAGGGUCCGCAGCCCUGCGCAGGGGAAAAGGUUGAGAAGCUGAAACUUCGUUGUGCAAAAAUCAACAAAAAAAUAAAUUAAAAAAUUAAAUAGUUUCCUUAAUUAAAAAAAGAAAAGAAGAAAAAGAUAA